rnacentral:misc_RNA from 1 species
CAGUGUCGUGACAGGAACAGUACGUGUACAAGUUACCCACUCGACAAAGUAGCACGUAUUUACUUAGUUGACCAGUCCUCCAGCGUCUUUCCUUGGAUACAGUAAUACAGAUAGAGACCCAGAAUGAUGCAGCAGAGAGCAGAAGCGUCUCCCGAGGCCGCGGACCCCCGGGGCCGGACGCCCGAAGGAGGCCAGGGGGACGCCGGGGCGGAGGCGGCGGAGGAGGCACCAGAGAGCAUGACACCGAGAGCCACGGGGAGCAAGAGCAAUGAUAUGAGCGCGUCUUCCUUGCCCGCUGCUGAGGAGAGCUCAGUGGACGAGUAUGCAGAGCUAACAGAUGCCCUUGCAAUAGAUUGUGAAAUGGUGGGUGCUGGACAGAGGGGCAGAAUAUCUAUGCUAGCAAGAGUUUCUGUUGUAAAUGAAUAUGGUGUAGUACUUCUGGACAAGUAUAUUAAGCCUUGGAAGAAGGUUGUCGACUACAGGACAAAAUAUUCAGGGAUUCGAGAAGCUGACUUAAAACAUGGGGAAGAUUUUGGCCAUGUCAGGAAACAGGUGCUGGAGAUGCUUAAGGGGAGGAUAUUGGUGGGCCAUGCAUUGAAACAUGACCUUCAGGCACUUUCCAUUACUCAUCCAAGAGCACUUACCAGAGACACAUCAAUGUACAAAGGUUUCCGUAACAAGUUUGAAGGUAAGACUCCGUCCUUAAAGAAGCUGAGCAUGAAGUUUUUGGGUAUGAAGAUCCAGGAAGGGGAACAUAACUCGGUAGAAGAUGCGCAAGCAACGAUGAGUCUGUACAUGCUUUGUCGAAAGCAAUGGGAUCCUAAGCAAAAGAAGAGGAACAGUGCUGUUAAAGAAUAUUAUAAGUAUGAACCAAGAAAAGAAGUCAAAAGAACUAAUGUCGCGUCAACUUCAUACUUCGGCCAAGUCAACAAGUUAUCAAAGCUCCCGUCAUUCGAAACCAGAAUCGACAAGAAUAUUGAGAUUGUGACAAUAAACGGUAAUCAUCAGGAAUUAGUCAAGGAAAAGGAUGAAGAAAAAGCAGAAUGUGAGGGGUCAGAAUUGAAAAAAGGUCAAUCUGCAAAUAACCUUUCAACACUUGGUUCCAAUGUCAUCCAAACAGAAAAGACAAAUGGUAGUAGUAUUAUAUCAACCCCAGGACAACAGAAGGAGAUAUAAAAACUAGUCAAAUGCAUCUGCCGAGGAACUGGAUCCAGCAUGCAGACCUUAAAUCAGGACAAGAUACACAAGUGGUAAAUCUAGCUUAAGAAUGUUACCAUCAACAGUGAAGGAACACUGUUACAUUAUAAAAACAAAAACAAAGAAAAAAACAGAAAUGAAUAAAGCAUCACCAAAUAAGGAAUUAACUUUCUUUAGAUAAGUAAAAGUCGUGUUUGAUUUUGUAUUUUAUAUUUUGUGGUUAACAUUACAAGGUAUAAUGGAUGAGAAUUAUACAUGAUUGCAUUAUGAUUUUAUUGUGUAAAAAAAAAAGUUAUUGUUUUCACUUCAGAGACUUUCCCAAAUAUUGUUAGGUUUGUGUUCUCACAAAAGAAAAUAAUCAGGUAUAGUGAAAAGCACAAGAUUAUUAUAAAGAUAUAUAUUAUAUACAUAUCUCUGUCACAUUUGUUAAUUAAAGAUAUUUUACAUAGCUCAA